GGGGAAUAUUGCACAAUGGAGGAAACUCUGAUGCAGCGACGCCGCGUGAGGGAAGAAGGUCUUCGGAUUGUAAACCUCUGUUGUCAGGGACGAUGAUGACGGUACCUGACGAGGAAGCCACGGCUAACUACGUGCCAGCAGCCGCGGUAAAACGUAGGUCACAAGCGUUGUCCGGAAUUACUGGGUGUAAAGGGAGCGCAGGCGGGCGAUCAAGUUGGAAGUGAAAUCCAUGGGCUCAACCCAUGAACUGCUUUCAAAACUGAUUGUCUUGAGUAGUGCAGAGGUAGGCGGAAUUCCCGGUGUAGCGGUGGAAUGCGUAGAUAUCGGGAGGAACACCAGUGGCGAAGGCGGCCUACUGGGCACCAACUGACGCUGAGGCUCGAAAGUGUGGGUAGCAAACAGGAUUAGAUACCCUGGUAGUCCAUGCCGUAAACGAUGAUUACUAGGUGUGGGGGGUCUGACCCCCUCCGUGCCGCAGUUAACACAAUAAGUAAUCCACCUGGGGAGUACGGCCGCAAGGUUGAAACUCAAAGGAAUUGACGGGGGCCCGCACAAGCAGUGGAGUAUGUGGUUUAAUUCGAAGCAACGCGAAGAACCUUACCAGGUCUUGACAUCCGUCUAACGAAGCAGAGAUGCAUUAGGUGCCCCUCGGGGAAAGGCGAGACAGGUGGUGCAUGGUUGUCGUCAGCUCGUGUCGUGAGAUGUUGGGUUAAGUCCCGCAACGAGCGCAACCCUUGCUAUUAGUUGCUACGCAAGAGCACUCUAAUAGGACUGCCGUUGACAAAACGGAGGAAGGUGGGGACGACGUCAAAUCAUCAUGCCCCUUAUGACCUGGGCUACACACGUACUACAAUGGAUGUAAACAGAGGGAAGCAAAAUAGCGAUAUGGAGCAAACCCCAAAAAGCAUUCUCAGUUCAGAUUGCAGGCUGCAACUCGCCUGUAUGAAGUUGGAAUUGCUAGUAAUCGCGGAUCAGCAUGCCGCGGUGAAUACGUUCCCG
rnacentral:rRNA from 1 species